rnacentral:rRNA from 1 species
AAUAUUGGACAAUGGGGGCAACCCUGAUCCAGCCAUGCCGCGUGUGUGAAGAAGGUCUUCGGAUUGUAAAGCCUUUUAAGUUGGGAGGAAGGGUUUUAGGUUAAUACUGUGAAGUUUUGACGUUAACAACAGAAUAAGCCCAGGCUAACUCUGUGCCAGAAGCCGCGGUAAUACAGAGGGUGCAAGCGUUAAUCGGAAUUACUGGGCGUAAAGCGCGCGUAGGUGGUUCAGUAAGAUGGGUGUGAAAUCCCCGGGCUUAACCUGGGAACUGCUUUCAUAACUGCUGAGCUAGAGUACGGUAGAGGGUAGUGGAAUUUCCUGUGUAGCGGUGAAAUGCGUAGAUAUAGGAAGGAACACCAGUGGCGAGGGCGACUACCUGGACUGAUACUGACACUGAGGUGCGAAAGCGUGGGGAGCAAAC